rnacentral:rRNA from 1 species
GACGGAGGGUGCUAGCGUUGUUCGGAAUUACUGGGCGUAAAGGGCGCGUAGGCGGCCGUUUGCGUCGGAUGUGAAAGCCCGGGGCUCAACCCUGGAACGGCAUCCGAUACGGGACGGCUGGAGACCGGGAGAGGAGGGUGGAAUAGCCAGUGUAGAGGUGAAAUGCGUAGAGAUCGGCAGGAACACCCAGGGGGAAACCAGUCGACUGGGCAUCUACUGACGCUGAGGUGCGAGAGCGUGGGGAGCGAACCGG